AUGAACGCUGACAGAAUGCUUAACACAUGCAAGUCCACUUGAACUUCGGUUUGGGUGGCGGACGGGUGAGUAACGCGUAAAGAACUUGCCUCACAGCUAGGGACAACAUUUGGAAACGAAUGCUAAUACCUGAUAUUAUGAUUUUAGGGCAUCCUAGAAUUAUGAAAGCUAUAUGCGCUGUGAGAGAGCUUUGCGUCCCAUUAGCUAGUUGGAGAGGUAACGGCUCACCAAGGCGAUGAUGGGUAGCCGGCCUGAGAGGGUGAACGGCCACAAGGGGACUGAGACACGGCCCUUACUCCUACGGGAGGCAGCAGUGGGGAAUAUUGGACAAUGGACCAAGAGUCUGAUCCAGCAAUUCUGUGUGCACGAUGAAGUUUUUCGGAAUGUAAAGUGCUUUCAGUUGGGAAGAAAAAAAUGACGGUACCAACAGAAGAAGAGACGGCUAAAUACGUG
rnacentral:rRNA from 1 species